rnacentral:rRNA from 1 species
GAGUUUGAUCCUGGCUCAGAUUGAACGCUGGCGGCAGGCCUAACACAUGCAAGUCGAGCGGAUGAAGGGAGCUUGCUCCUGGAUUCAGCGGCGGACGGGUGAGUAGUGCCUAGGAAUCUGCCUGGGUAGUGGGGGAUAACGUCCGGAAACGGGCGCUAAUACCGCAUACGUCCUGAGGGGAGAAAGUGGGGGAUCUUCGGACCUCACGCUAUCAGAUGAGCCUAGGUCGGAUUAGCUAGUUGGUGGGGUAAAGGCCUACCAAGGCGACGAUCCGUAACUGGUCUGAGAGGAUGAUCAGUCACACUGGAACUGAGACACGGUCCAGACUCCUACGGGAGGCAGCAGUGGGGAAUAUUGGACAAUGGGCGAAAGCCUGAUCCAGCCAUGCCGCGUGUGUGAAGAAGGUCUUCGGAUUGUAAAGCACUUUAAGUUGGGAGGAAGGGCAGUAAGUUAAUACCUUGCUGUUUGACGUUACCAACAGAAUAAGCACCGGCUAACUUCGUGCCAGCAGCCGCCG